GACCCGUGUCACAGACUCUCAGAAAGCACAGUGAGAGUUCCCCUGGUUGAGAAUCGCAGGCUGCCGCUGGCUUCCCCCACUUCCCUGGGCACAUCGGAGGAGGGGGCCACAGCUGGUCCCUGGUCUGUGUUCCCUGGCACCUCUGAGCAGCCUGGAAUUCUCAGUGGGGGUGCUCACCUUCCUGGUGGAAAUCCCCAGGGUGUUGGAGACAGGUCCAAAAUUUCAAGUUCUAGGCGCUUUUGCUCUGCUCUGUUUGGAGUGUCUGGGUGACCUCAAGGAGAAGUCACUUCCUCACAGUGGGUUCUGAUGACUCCAUCUGUAAAAAAGAAGUUGCAACAGGUGGCCUCUGGGCUGUAAGAUUCUGGGACCCUAUCUUGCCUGGGACUGAGGCAACCAGAAGGAGCAGGAAAGCCCUGAUGAAAUCCAAGGCCUAGGACCACAGACUCCUCAGGGCCCUCCCCACACCACCCCACUCAGGAAGUCAUAGGUGGCUACAUGCUCCGGUCAGGUGCCACCACUUUACUGCCUCAAGGAGAACAAAGCGCUAAACAAAUGCAAGAUCACAGCAGCUGGUCUCAGCAUCCAAGUGGGAUGUAGAUCCACAUUUGCAGGAAAAGUGCACUGGGGAAACGAUGGCUCCCAGAAUGUGUACUGUGUGCUGGGCAACAGUUUCCCUCCAAAUCCUUACAGCAACCUGCAAGGAAUUCUUCUGCAGCUGUAUAUAGGGUCAGAGAAGCAAGAUGCCUGGUCCAAAGGCACACAGCCUCUGGUAGUGGAGUGGGAUUCACACCAGGGCUGUGGGGCCCCAAGCUCUGUGUGCUUGGGAUGGAGAUCAGAGUACCCAGCUCUUGUCUCAUCUAUCAAAUGGAGAAGACAAUCCCUACACAUCUUUCCAUCCUGCUUGGCUGCUACAGAGGUUUUGCAAACUUUCACAGUGGUUUCAGAUCAUGGGUUUUGAGGUCAGACAGAGCUGAGUUGAAAUCCUGGGUCCACUGCUUACUAACUGUGGGCCCUGGGACAAAGUCCUUAACUUCCCUGAAACUCAGAUUCUGCAUCUGUAAAAUGGGACAAUAAUACCUAUUUCACCCAUUUGUUGUGAUGACUAAAUGAGAUAGUGGGUCAAAGUGUGGUGUGUAACCCAAGUGAAGUACUUGAAUGACAUUUGGCUCAGAUGGUGACUACAGGCCUUCCAGCUCCUCAGAGAAAAGGAUUAAAGUGGUGCAUUAUGCUUAUACUGUGCUUUCACGUCUAUCUACUGGAGCCUCAACAGGUGGGCAGGGCAGGUCAUCUGGCCUGAGAUACAUUAAACUGCCCACCUGCCCUGGUGUAACACCAGGGCUGCCACAGGCUGGUGGCAAAGACAGCACGGCAUCUUACCGCCACAAUGUACAUCAGGACCUCCACCCCCAUAACAAACGACCUCCAGGCCUGCAUCAAGACUAUCAGAAGACACUCCCUUUUAACUGUGUACCCCAUACCUGCAAGCUUUCCUGCAGCCAGCCCUACCUGUUCCCUCCUUCCCCUGGUUUGGGAUAAAACAG
rnacentral:lncRNA from 1 species